rnacentral:rRNA from 1 species
AGCUCCAGUAGCGUAUAUUAAAGUUGUUGCAGUUAAAAAGCUCGUAGUUGGAUUUCUGGCAGAGCAGAGCUAACCUGGUACUAUGUGCCGUGUGUUGGAUUCGGUUCGCCAUCCUUCCAGAAAAGCAUCAUACCAUUCACUUGGCCGUGAUGUAGAUCUGGAACUUUUACUUUGAAAAAAUUAGAGUGUUCAAAGCAGGCGUUACGCUAUGAAUACAUUAGCAUGGAAUAAUAAUUUAGGACUUCAGUUCUAUUUUGUUGGUUUCUAGGACCGAAGUAAUGAUUGAUAGGGAUAGUUGGGGGUGCUAGUAUUCAGCGGCCAGAGGUGAAAUUCUUGGAUUCGCUGAAGACUAACUUAUGCGAAAGCAUUCACCAAGGAUGUCUUCUUUAAUCAAGAACGA